UUAGUUCAAUUCAUUCAGACAAUUCUUACUUUUCUUAGUCCAUCGUAUGGUGGCUUUAGAUAAUAGUUUGACUAAUUGCAAUGUCUGGUUUCAAUAAUAAUUCAAAAAGAGUCAAUUGCAACUAAAUGCUGAUGUUGUUUCACGAUUGCCCAAAUAUUCCUGUGUUAUCCACGGCGAUGGAUACCCUUAACACGUGGCUUUAACUAAGACAACCCAGCUGUUGCCUACAUGCACCAAGUUGUGUUCGAAAGGAAAUUGGAUGUAGGUGACUCGGAUCUUUUUCAAUCAACAGAUGGAAUACAAAAAUCUACAAUCCUCAAGAGCACAACAUUAUUGGUUUAUUUUAUUAGCACAAAGAGACGGCAAGCGGAAUUUUUCUUAUUCGCAGUACUGACAACCUUUGCCUAGCAAACUCGGCCUUGGUAACGACACCCUCGAAAGACUCGGCGUAUAAUUUUAUUUCAUCAGUGGGCCCGCUCUGCAUCACCAAAGAUUGGGAAUCAUCUCCAUGGUUUAACUUUGCACGAACUGCUAAGUAUGUGAUUUGUAUGCCGGAGCUUCGUACUUGGGAGCGUAUUCGGCUGACCUGUAAGAAUCGGCGGCAGCGACAGCGAAAAGGGCGGCGAGGAUGAUGAACUAAUAAAAUAGGAACAUUUGACGCCAUGUAAAAGGCUUAUGUAAGAAUCUCAGAAAUGAACUUCGGAACGUGGGGCCAACUAUUAACCGCUUCGUCUUCGUCACCGAAGAUAUAGGUCUACAACUCUCCAUGACGUCCAUGCCCAUCUCCACAUCCAACUCUUUCAUGUCGUCCAUGUGUUGCUUUCAUUGCCCGUUUUACUCACUACCUGGUGCAAAACAAAAUAAUGGGUCCUCGGGUCACCUCAGCACAUGCACUUUCAUAGGCACUUCCAUGCCGAAUCGAUGACCACGAAGCGCUUCACGCUAAAGGCCAGCACAUUUUUCUGAAUUGUGUAUCCAUAUUCUGAAUGCAGUUUUUUUCCAUUGUCGUCGUUUUUCCGUGAACCAAGUAAUCGAUUUUUUUUUAACUUUUUGGGUAUCUAUGUAGUUAUCGAUUUCUAUCUGCGUAUUGAACUUAUGGUGAUCCAAUCCAUCCCAAUCGGUUCCGGCCAUCCAAUUUUCGCAAGGAAGAAGAAUUCCUUUUUAUUUUAAAACAGAACCGAGAAUCCAGGAAUAUUUUAGCGCUUCCAUAAUUAAAAUAUUUAUGGUAGUACUUUGAUCGAAUUGAAUUUUUGUAUUAAAUAAUAAGUUUAGAUACACACAUUUCAGCGGUUUCAA